rnacentral:tRNA from 1 species
GCGGCCAUGGCGGAAUUGGUAGACGCGCUAGCUUGAGGUGCUAGUCGGGCAACCGGUGGAGGUUCGAGUCCUCUUGGCCGCACCA